rnacentral:lncRNA from 1 species
CCUAUGCUGCAGCUCAUGGAAAUGCCAGAUCCUUAACCCACUGAGCAAGGCCAGGGAUCAAACCCACAUCCUCAUGGAUACUAGUGAGGUUCUUAACCCACUGAGCCACAGCGGGAACUCCCCAGAAAUGACAAACUAGGAAAUUUACUCCAUCCAAAAAAUCAAGUACAGUAAACAAAGUUGGCCUGUCAUGUCUGUUUGUUGUAUUUUCUAACAUGCUUUUUCUUCUAUUACCUGUCAAUUGUAAAAUUGUGUUUCCUAACCAUAAGGAGCGCAAAACUAUGGUAUAGGAACAUUCACACGGGUUUUGGUAUUUUUCUGUUUCUUCCCUGUCAGCGUUCUCCCCAUUGCCUGUGUACUCAGGAACACAGUGGUAUUCUCUAUCUUUCUCUUCGGCCCUGCCUUUCAGGUUCUUACAGCCGUAGUGGUUUGUCCAUGUGCAUCUUUGCCUCCUGGGAGGCUGCUGCUGUUUGAUGUUUGUGCUGCAUAUACUUCUCCUGACAGCAUAGGAUCUCUGCACUGUGCUGGUGUGCAGAAUUCCUCAUGUGCCAGGUGUGUAUGUUGCUUUCUCUGGAGCCCUGUAGAAGCAGGCUGUGUUCCCUUAGUAAAUCCAGCUCUUCCUACCACCCAAAAGUAGAUUUGUUAUAAUCCACUAAAUGGAUCCAGAAGUUUUCCUGCCUUGUACUCUGAGUGUCUCAAAAAGGUUUUUUUGAGCACUGUCUUGUUUUCUUGAUCUUGGUAUAUAGCACCUGCUAUCUAGAGCCCUCAGACAAGUCCCAGGUAGAACGAGGAAGAAGACACAGCAUAGGCUCAAAGGCAUCCAGAGAACAAGAUGCCUUGAUGAUACUUUCCCUUCUCACGAGUACCUAUGGCCCUUUUUUCCCCUUAGGAUGAUUACUAACUUUGGAGUCUCCAUAGCAGUAAUAGAGACAGUCUCCUGGCAGACUAGACAUGCUUUAAAGUAAACGUAAUUUGGCAUAUAUAAUUCCACAGUGCUAUUUUUUUUUUAAAUUUUCACUUUCUUUUAAAGCCAGCAAAAUCUCCUUUAGAUGCACAUGUACAACAUAUAAAUGGCUGAGCUGCUCUAAAUGAAGCAGGUUGAGGAGUCCUGCAGUCAGCCCUUCCCCUGAGGCUCCUUCAGAGCAUGCUAUAGGUUCUUGGAGAUUACUGAUCUCUAGCUCCCUUGUUUUAUAGAUGAGCAGUCGAAUGCCCACGGGAUUAAUCCAUAUCCAUCAGUUCUUUCCGGGCCAUACCAAACUUUUUCUAAACUGUCUUUGACUAAUCCCAUUUUCUCCUUUGUGAAGCAUGGUGGAAGUUUCUUUCCUGUAGCAUUUUGUGUGCACAUAUCAUGUAAUAUUUGUCAUUUUCUCUUAUACUUAAAUGUUUUACUGUCUCCCUCAUAGUCCUUAACCACAAAGAGUCUGUUUUUGUUUUUGUUUUUUAAUUUAGUUUCGAUCCUCAGUGCCUGGUGUGAUCCUAUCAUGUGUUAGGUGGUUAAUUACUGUUACAUUAAAAUGAAUAAAUUUAUUUCAUACUUUUCUUGGAAAUUAUGUAUUCAGUUUGUGAAGUGUCAUUUUGCGUUGGUGAAAUGUUAGUUUCUUCUGGUUGACUUAUGAGUUUAUGUGAGCUAGCUCUCCUUCUUCAACUAGAUUAUCACUCUUUUAAAACCUUCUAAGUCUACCCCUCACCAUAAAACUCAGCAUAAUAGAAGCACUUUGAUAAACUAAAGAGAAUCUUGUAAAGAAUAUCAUGAUACUACUGCUUUAGUCCCUUCUUAGUUCCUCUUAAAAUAUUCCUAACAUUGACAAGUUAACAGUGAAAAGUGCUUCUUCUUUCAUGAGGCCAGUGCAGAGAGAGACAGUGUAUAGCUAAAAUCACUGGAUUUGUAUCCAGGAUCUACCUCCUGUAAGCUUUUGACCAUGGGUGUGUUACUGAAUCUCUCUGACUCAUAAUCUGUCAUCUAUAAAUAAUAUCUAUCACAUUGUAAUAUAUAAAUGAAAUAACAUAUUGUAUCUAGCAAUACAUGUGCUAUAAUUAAUAAAUAUUUAAAUGAUGAAUGUGCAUAUAUGUAUAACUGAAUCACUUUGUUGUACAGCAGAAAUUAUCACAUUGUAAAUCAACUAUAUUUCAAUAAAACUUAAAAAAAUUAAUGAUAGCUGUUGUCAUAUACACGCAGAUGUCAGUGAUGAAUAUUUGAUUAUCUUUUGCAGUCAUUGUAUAUCUUGUCAUUGUUAUUGUUUUUCAUUUUUUAAACCUUUAUUGAAGUAUAGUUGAUUUACAAUGUUGUAAUAAUUUCUGCUCUAUAACACAGUGACUCACUUAUACAUAAACACACAUCCAUUCUUUUUCAGAUUCUUUUCCCAUAUAGGUUAUUAUGGAAUAUUGGGUAGCAUUCUCUUGCUAUACAGCAGGUCCCUGUUGUCAUAUACAAGCCAUAUAAAAGGCCGUGUGGUGAAGAAUGACUGAUUAGAAUAUCUUUUGCAAUCAUUAUAUAUCUUGUCAGACAUUGUUACUGUGUUUUUCAAGUAGUUAACAAUAAUAUCUUGAACUUGUGUAUUGCUUUGUUUUAAACAACCUGUUUCAUUAAAAUUCAAAGGGCACAAUAGACAUUUUUAAAGGUUUGCAGUGCAGGGUAUCAAACAGCUAAGGGCAGGCAAUUAAGAUAAGCAUGAUGAUCCUGUCUACUUUUUAGAGGUUUUCAACUUGAAAGUAUACCAAGCAAGGACUUCUGGCACAUUAAGGCAGAUCAAAUCUUUGGCCAUUUUCUUCUUGCUGUUUAUGAAUUACCUUCAGGUCAAUAAUUACAAGCAUAAACCUAAGUAUACCAUAUAAGAUACACUUUAUAAAUCUUCCUAAAUUGAAAUUAAUAGAGCACUAGGUUGAGAUUUAGGUGCUAUGAACUAGUUUUGAGUCCAACAAAGUUUAGCAGAGUAACCUUGGAAAGGUCAGAGUUAAUUCUGACUUUUUUUUAUGCAUUUAGGAUACUUUAUACAGAAAACUUUUCAACAAAGCUCCCAGCCUUCCAUAUAAGAUCUCAUCUACAACAAUUUUCUAAUCUUCGGUAUUCUGAAUUUAAAUUUGAAACUAUUAAGUACCCUAAAAUUAGUUAGUUAUGACAAUACUUUUUUUUUUUUAAUUUUGUUACUAAGAUUUUAAUGUUUGGAGCGAUUUACUGACCAACUAUUUCAGAUAUUUCACCAAAAUUUGAAUACAUUUUAAUAAAAAUACAAAGCAAAUGUAAACACUUUUAAAAGUGUAAUUAUUUUCAGGUUAUUUUCCUUCUAAUAUAUGCAAAAUUAUCUAUUGAUGCAAAAGGCAGACACUCUUCAGCUGCUAUGUGCAACUCUUGCAAAUACCGUAUUAAUUUUGUGAGUACCUCCAAAACCACAAAUUAAAACAUGAAGUAAGAAAAUGGACCUUGGCACUCUUGGGAAAUGAUACUUGGCUAAGCAGGGAUUUAUUGCAUUCAUGAUAUUUGAGAGGGAGGAUUUGACAAGUUAAUUAAUUUGUCUUUUCUCUUACCUAAGUGCUUUCAUCGCUCAAAUCCUACUGAAGCUCCAAAGCAGUAUCUAUCUCUGUCUUCAGCAGCUGCCUAGCCCACAAACCUUUAGGGCAUUCUGACAUAAUCCCCUUUUGUUUUGAAGAGGAAGGGCAAGAGAUGUGGAGAAGCAUUUCCUUGGGGCUUGAAGAGUAUUACUUGUGAGAGUAGAUAUUCAGGGUCAUGAGUCACACUGUCAGUGUGAGCCCCAGAUCUGAGCUGCAGAAGGCAUGAUACCUGUUCUUCAGUGGAUUUGAUUCAGGCUGUUUGUGAUUUCAGGAUUCUCUGAAACACAGAGUCUGUGGCAGUGUGUCCCCUCUUUCCAAGAUCCGAGGGUGGCACUGCUUGAGUACCCCAGUUGCAGGAGCAGAACUGGAUGUGCUGAGAUAUCAAAGCUAUGCAUGUGACCUCUGCAGGAUUACUGUUAUUAAAGUGUUAUUUGGGGUAGCAGGUAAAAUGCAGAAGUUAUUACUGAGUUGGCUUCUUUGGAGCUAAUUUAUAUGUCUGCCAGCCAGACUGUGGAAAUAUAUGAACAAAUAUCACUGUAAGAUAAAAGUUUGCUGUUCAUGAACAAAUAACCUCUAGUGUGCUUCUGAGCAUCUUGGAGAUAUUUUCUUGGCUGUAGCCAUUGCUGUGAUGUUUGCAUAUAGUAAUUAUUAUUGUCGAACAUUUAGUAUUUCUGAGCAGUGAACUAAGCAUUGUGUUUUUAACCUCAUUUCUAGUAUAGAAAGUCAAAAAGGAAGUAAUGUAACUUUGGGGCUUAGUGUUGAUUCAAAAAUCAACCAAUACAUGGGAGCUAUUUCACAUACUUUUCUGGUAUUUGCUUCCUGUAACAUUGCUUUCAAACUCAGUUCUCAAGAUACUAAAAUGGAGGAAAGGCACUAGAAAUCUGGACAAAUUUCUUUCUCUUCCAGUAUUAUCAUAAACUGUGAUAUAUAUUUUAUAUUUAAAGCUGAUAAAAUAAUCAGCUAAUUCAUAUUGUGGUAUACAGAAUGGACCCUGACAUAAUAAUGCAUGAUAAUCACAAAAUUUUAUUUGUUCAAGCGGAUAUUGACAUUUAUUUUGUGCUUGACUCUACUUAAAACUCAUUGUAUCUAUAUUACUAAGAUUUCCAGUAAAUGCUCUGAGGUCAGUUAGUGUUGAGUGCUUAGAGAUCAUUUCUCCAAAGAGAUUUUUUUAGGAAAUACUUAUAUUAAACCAGCAUAUUUUAUAAUAAACUGAAUAUGUGAGUGAUAAUAGUGUCAUUACCAAGUAAAAAAUUUUAUAACUAAUUGAAUAUGCUUCUGUGAUUAAGAAUAUAAGUUAUCAUUUCUGUGUAAGGUGUUACGGCAGCAUAAUUUUUGUCAGGUAGUGUAUUUAUCUAGAACACACGCAUCUGUUUUUGUUUUGCUUGUCCAAUUUCCAAGGGCAUAUUUCUGGACUUUAGUCCUCUGUCUGAUUUGUGUCCUACCUUAUUGAAAAAAAAAAAA